GCAUACAUGGUUUCCUGAAUAACCUUAAUUUAGUGAACUGAGGGACACAGGGACGUCAUGUCUCCAGUCUCCUUUCGUGUUUGGUCAUGGAUGACGACGGCCACUUCUCGUACUAGCGUAUGCCAGUGUUACGAGUCGAGGACGUUAGUGUGCAGUGUCUCUGUUCACGUGUUCGUAUGCCACCAGGAGAGGCGCCUUGUUCUUGCCGAGCCAUGGGAGCCACAGUUGUCCACAGAAUUGUAUAGCAAGUUGCUGUGAAUAAUAAUCUCUAUGUGGAGCUUCGUUGUACUUUAUGGUGCGUGACCCGUUCGGUAUCAAUCCUGGGGCAUCGUCCGUGGGCUGAGGUGCCACUUUAUAGCUUGGUGCCCCUCGUGUUAUACGACGCUACGCCAAGGCAGUCUUUCUACUGGGAGGCCUGGAGGUUUGUUACGUUCCGCACAGUUGUAGGGAAAAGGUAUGUUAAAGAUUUGGACUAGCGUUGGAACACUGUGUGCAGCACCAUCAACAAGCGGCGUCGGGCGUCAACUCCAGGCCUCUUUGUAGACGGGAGUCUGCAGCGUUUUGACAUGUGUUGAAUAAACGAGGAAUCGUCUUGUACGAAACGUCGGUUCGGCAGAGUCUGGAGGUCGGUGGGCUGAAAUUGCACGCAGAAGCGCAAGCCUGCCUCCUGACAAGGUUCUUCAACACCGGCUGCAGCCCAUGUGUGCUCCAAGGCCCAUCACGGAUUUCGCCAGACGUCGCUCGUACGCAAGCACUGUUCAGUGUUCAGUGAACCUGCUAGAUGUGGUCGAAGGGUCUCCGCAGGGGCGUCGUAUCGCGAGUUACACUUCGUUCCUGGCACAAGACGUCCGACAUGACUACCGCCGAUGCCGCCUAACCCCCGACCGACUCAGGAGGACAAAUAUGAGACAUCGAGCAACGUGUCUUCGGACAGCGAGACCACAAGGACCUCCGCUUCGCAGAACCAUCGUACCAGAGUGGUCACAGCACCUAUUCCCGAGUUCGGUAUGAGUCCCUUCUCUCUCGUACAUAUCUUUCGCUUACGACUCUUUCUCCUCCUGUUGUGUUCGCGGCCGUAGAAACACCAUUCCGACUACGCAGAGGUGUUGCGUUCCGAUUGCUUGCCGUCUGUGUGGGAUUGCCAUCCUGCACUCCGGCAUUUGGUUUCCCUCUGACUGCGGCAUUCCUAUGGAUGCGGAACGUGGUGCAACGGCUGCACUUAUGUCGAGGGACUCAUACAGCUAUCUCGGGCAUCUGUUUCUUUGACAGAGGAGCAGGCUUGUCGGCGCGUGUUUUUCGCCUGGGGUUUUCGGGUGGCCUCUUGCUAAUGAUAAAUCAG
rnacentral:lncRNA from 1 species